GCGGGGCCUGCCCCAUAGGGGGCCCCGUUGGCGGCCAUGUUGGCCCCGUUGACCCUCUUCCCCAUAGAGAUCAACAUGGGGUGGAGAAAGGUCUUGCCCAAUAGAGGGUUCUCCUGCCCCAUGGAAGGUUCUCCUACCCCAUAGGGUGGGUUCCUGCCCCAUAGGGUGGGUUUCUGCCCCAUAGAAGGCCCCGUUGGCGGCUGCGUUGGCCCCGUUGACCCUCCUCCCCAUAGAGAUCAACAUGGGGUGGAGAAAGGUCUUGCCUCAUAGAGAGUUCUCCUGCCCCAUGGAAGGUUCUCCUGCCCCAUAGGGUGGGUUUCUGCCCCAUAGAAGGCCCCGUUGGCGGCCGCGUUGGCCCUGUUGACCCUUCUCCCCAUGGAGAUUAAGAUGGGAUGGAGAAAGGUCUUGCCUCAUAGACGGUUUUCCUACCCUAUAGGGUGGGUUCCUGCCCCAUAGCGUCGGUUUCUGCCCCAUAGAAGGCCCCGUUGGCGGCCGCGUUGGCCCCGUUGACCCUCUUCCCCAUAGAGAUCAACAUGGGGUGGAGAAAAGUCUUGCCCCAUAGACGGUUCUCCUGCCCCAUGGAAGGUUCUCCUGCCCCAUAGGGUGGUUUCUGCCCCAUAGGGGGCCCCGUUGGCGGCCAUGUUGGCCCCGUUGACCCUCUUCCCCAUAGAGAUCAACAUGGGGUGGAGAAAGGUCUUGCCCCAUAGAGGGUUCUCCUGCCCCAUGGAAGGUUCUCCUACCCCAUAGGGUGGGUUCCUGCCCCAUAGGGUGGGUUUCUGCCCCAUAGAAGGCCCCGUUGGCGGCCACGUUGGCCCUGUUGACCCUCUUCCCCAUAGAGAUCAACAUGGGGUGGAGAAAGGUCUUGCCUCAUAGAGGGUUUUCCUACCCUAUAGGGUGGCUUCCUGCCCCAUAGCGUCGGUUUCUGCCCCAUAGAAGGCCCCAUUGGCGGCCACGUUGGCCCCGUUGACCCUUCUCCCCAUAGAGAUCAACAUGGGGUGGAGAAAGGUCUUGCCCCAUAGAGGGUUUUCCUACCCCAUAGGGUGGCUUCCUGCCCCAUAGUGUCGGUUUCUGCCCCAUAGAAGGCCCAGUUGGCGGCCGCGUUGGCCCCAUUGACCCUUCUCCCCAUAGAGAUCAACAUGGGGUGGAGAAAGGUCUUGCCCCAUAGAGGGUUCUCUUGCCCCAUAGACGGUUCUGCCCUAUAGAGUGGGUUCCUGCCCCAUAGGGUGGGUUUCUGCCCCAUAGAAGGCCCCAUUGGCGGCUGUGUUGGCCCUGUUGACCCUUCUCCCCAUGGAGAUUAAGAUGGGGCGGAGAAAGGUCUUGCCCCAUGGAAGGUUCUGCCCUAUAGGGUGGUUUCUGCCCCAUAGAAGGCCCCGUUGGCGGCCACGUUGGCCCUGUUGACCCUCUUCCCCAUGGAGAUUAAGAUGGGGUGGAGAAAGGUCUUGCCCCAUAGAGGGUUCUCCUGCCCCAUGGAAGGUUCUCCUGCCCCAUAGGGUGGGUUUCUGCCCCAUAGGGUGGGUUUCUGCCCCAUAGAAGGCCCCGUUGGUGGCCGCGUUGGCCCUGUUGACCCUUCUCCCCAUAGAGAUCAACAUGGGGUGGAGAAAGGUCUUGCCCCAUAAGCGGUUCUCCUGCCCCAUAGGGUGGGUUUCUGCCCCAUAGGGUGGGUUUCUGCCCCAUAGAAGGCCCCGUUGGCGGCCACGUUGGCCCUGUUGACCCUCUUCCCCAUGGAGAUUAAGAUGGGGUGGAGAAAGGUCUUGCCCCAUAGAGGGUUCUCCUGCCCCAUGGAAGGUUCUCCUGCCCCAUAGGGUGGGUUUCUGCCCCAUAGGGUGGGUUUCUGCCCCAUAGAAGGCCCCGUUGGUGGCCGCGUUGGCCCUGUUGACCCUUCUCCCCAUAGAGAUCAACAUGGGGUGGAGAAAGGUCUUGCCCCAUAAGCGGUUCUCCUGCCCCAUAGGGUGGGUUUCUGCCCCAUAGGGUGGGUUUCUGCCGCAUAGAAGGCCCCGUUGGCGGCCACGUUGGCCCUGUUGACCCUUCUCCCCAUAGAGAUCAACAUGGGGUGGAGAAAGGUCUUGCCCCAUAGACGGUUCUCCUGCCCCAUGGAAGGUUCUCCUGCCCCAUAGGGUGGGUUUCUGCCCCAUUGAAGGCCCCGUUGGCGGCCGCGUUGGCCCUGUUGACCCUUCUCCCCAUAGAGAUCAACAUGGGGUGGAGAAAGGUCUUGCCCCAUCGAGGGUUUUCCUACCCCAUAGGGUGGGUUCCUGCCCCAUAGGGUGGCUUCCUGCCCCAUAGAAGGCCCCGUUGGCGGCCGCGUUGGCCCCGUUGACCCUUCUCCCCAUGGAGAUUAAGAUGGGGUGGAGAAAGGUCUUGCCCCAUAGAUGGUUUUCCUACCCUAUAGGGUGGCUUCCUGCCCCAUAGCGUCGGUUUCUGCCCCAUAGAAGGCCCCGUUGGUGGCCGCGUUGGCCCCGUUGACCCUUCUCCCCAUAGAGAUCAACAUGGGGUGGAGAAAGGUCUUGCCCCAUAGAGGGUUCUCCUGCCCCAUGGAAGGUUCUCCUGCCCCAUAGGGUGGUUUCUGCCCCAUAGAAGGCCCCGUUGGCGGCCACGUUGGCCCUGUUGACCCUCUUCCCCAUAGAGAUCAACAUGGGGUGGAGAAAGGUCUUGCCCCAUAGAGGGUUCUCCUGCCCCAUGGAAGGUUCUCCUGCCCCAUAGGGUGGGUUUCUGCCCCAUAGGAGGCCCUGUUGGCGGCCGCGUUGGCCCCGUUGACCCUUCUCCCCAUGGAGAUUAAGAUGGGGCGGAGAAAGGUCUUGCCCCAUAGACGGUUCUGCCCUAUAGAGUGGGUUUCUGCCCCAUAGAAGGCCCCGUUGGUGGCCACAUUGGCCCUGUUGACCCUUCUCCCCAUGGAGAUUAAGAUGGGGCGGAGAAAGGUCUUGCCCCAUAGACGGUUCUGCCCUAUAGGGUGGGUUCCUGCCCCAUAGAAGGCUCUGUUCGUGGCCACGUUGGCCCUGUUGAUCCUCUUCCCCAUGGAGAUUAAGAUGGGGUGGAGAAAGGUCUUGCCCCAUAGAGGGUUCUCCUGCCCCAUAGGGUGGGUUUCUGCCCCAUAGAAGGCCCCGUUGGCUGCCAUGUUGGCCCUGUUGACCCUUCUCCCCAUAGAGAUCAACAUGGGGU